GCAGUGCCAAUCUAGUGGAAGGGGUGUACAAACGAGGCAUACAUUGUCAUUAUUUUCACCUCGGGAAGGUCUGAGAUAAGAUUGUUAAACGUUCUAGCCGGACGGCAUCAUAAUGAUGCGUACGAGAACCAGAAAUAGCUUUGCGUUUUUCAAAAUGCUGAGGACGCUUUUUUAAAGCAGAGGCGACUGGAAACGUGAAGUUGAAAUCUCGUAUAAUCCGCAAGUUCAGUCUAAUCCACAAGCCUGGUAGUCAUACCUGGAACUCAAUUCAGACUAAUCUGAUGCUGC
rnacentral:RNase_P_RNA from 2 species